rnacentral:rRNA from 1 species
GUGUCAGCCGCCGCGGUAAUACAGAGGUGGCAAGCGUUGUUCGGAAUUACUGGGCGUAAAGGGCGCGUAGGCGGCUCGACAAGUCCCGCGUGAAAUCCCCCGGCUCAACUGGGGAAUUGCGCGGGAAACUGUCGGACUUGAGUUCGGGAGAGGGAAGCGGAAUUCCGGGUGUAGCGGUGAAAUGCGUAGAUAUCCGGAGGAACACCGGUGGCGAAGGCGGCUUCCUGGACCGACACUGACGCUGAGGCGCGAAAGCUAGGGGAGCAAACGGGAUUAGAAACCCUCGUAGUCC